CCAUAAAAGUCCCAUAAAACCUGAUUGGUUAGAUAUAAGGAUUUCUCAUCAAAAGACUUCUCAGUAAUAGCUUUGUAGUUCCACAGAUUAAGAUGAAAUAUUUCUCCCUUUUGUUUCUAUGGUUAGUUUUUCAACCUUACAGCAGCGGGGAAUUGCAGGUUGAUUUUCUAAAAACUGUUAAAAAGUGGUAUAUGGCACCAACAUCAAUCGUAUGUCGGUUUGCAGGUCGGUGGGCAGUGAUCCCAUACAAGGAUAGAGCUAAGAUUCGAUGUAACAGUUCCAGAUGUCAAUGUUAUAAACCUAUUCACAAGGCGUUCCUUCUAUGAAGAAAGCUGAGGAGGUUUUAAAGGAUGAUAUUUCCAGAUUAAGGAUUUGAUAAUAAGAAAUAAACUGAUUAGAAAAGUG